AGCGGCGGACGGGUGAGUAACACGUGGGUAACCUGCCCAAGAGACUGGGAUAACACCUGGAAACAGAUGCUAAUACCGGAUAACGACACUAGACGCAUGUCUAGAGUUUGAAAGAUGGUUCUGCUACCACUCUUGGAUGGACCUGCGGUGCAUUAGCUAGUUGGUAAGGUAACGGCUUACCAAGGCAAUGAUGCAUAGCCGAGUUGAGAGACUGAUCGGCCACAUUGGGACUGAGACACGGCCCAAACUCCUACGGGAGGCAGCAGUAGGGAAUCUUCCACAAUGGACGAAAGUCUGAUGGAGCAACGCCGCGUGAGUGAAGAAGGGUUUCGGCUCGUAAAGCUCUGUUGGUAGUGAAGAAAGAUAGAGGUAGUAACUGGCCUUUAUUUGACGGUAAUUACUUAGAAAGUCACGGCUAACUACGUGCCAGCAGCCGCGGUAAUACGUAGGUGGCAAGCGUUGUCCGGAUUUAUUGGGCGUAAAGCGAGUGCAGGCGGUUCAAUAAGUCUGAUGUGAAAGCCUUCGGCUCAACCGGAGAAUUGCAUCAGAAACUGUUGAACUUGAGUGCAGAAGAGGAGAGUGGAACUCCAUGUGUAGCGGCGGAAUGCGUAGAUAUAUGGAAGAACACCAGUGGCGAAGGCGGCUCUCUGGUCUGCAACCGACGCUGAGGCUCGAAAGCAUGGGUAGCGAACAGGAUUAGAUACCCUGGUAGUCCAUGCCGUAAACGAUGAGUGCUAAGUGU
rnacentral:rRNA from 1 species